AAGUCGCGCAAUCAUUUGUCUGUUAUAUAUACAAAUCAAUCAUCUUUUUUUUAUAUUUUAAUAUGAUAAGAACAGAUUUGCCUGAAUUUAUAAACUAAUUUUCGCAUCCUCUUCUAUCCAAUUCCAGCCAGCGGCACAGAGAGGAUUGUCACCCAUCUUUAGAGAAGGUUAUUUGCAAUGGACAUGAUUGAUAAACAAAUUGACAGUACAGAUGUGGAAACUUUGCAGAAUGGAGAUGAGAGUAGAUCUCUUCAGGUAAAGUUUCUGUUUUUCGCCCGUGCUAGAGAUCUGACCGGCAUGAGUGAAAUGCCAUUGGAAGUUUCUUAUGGUAGUACCGCCGGUGAUUGCUUGAAUAAGGUCAUUUCUCACUUCCCCCGCUUGGAAGAGAUUCGUGGGUGCAUGCUUCUGGCCCGGAAUGAGGAAUACACACCUGAGUCCACCACGGUCAAAGAUGGAGAUGAAUUGGCCAUCAUACCACCUAUUAGUGGAGGCUAAUUCAGUAUCUGAACUGCAAAUAUAGGGAAGUCAAACUCUGUUAUACUAAUGUAAUCAUUUUACAAAUAAGAACAAAAUUCCUUCACUUUAUGUUGUGUUAGAACCAUUGAACUUUCAAUCUAUUGGAUCGACCCCCUUGAUCUUCUGUUA